GAUUGUUGGACAAUGGGCGAAAGCCUGCUCCAGCAAUGCCGCGUGCAGGAUGAAGGCCUUCGGGUGGUAAACUGCUUUUGUACGGAACGAAAAGCUUUGGGUUAAUAACCUGGAGGCAUGAAGGUACCGUAAGAACAAGGAGCGGCUAACUACGUGCCAGCAGCCGCGGUAAUCCGUAGGGUGCAAGCGUUAAUCGGAAGUACUGGGCGGAAAGCGUGCGCAGGCGGUUUUGUAAGACAGAGGUGAAAUCCCCGGGCUCAACCUGGGAACUGCCUUUGUGACUGCAAGGCUAGAGUACGGCAGAGGGGGUGGAAUUCCGCGUGUAGCAGUGAAAUGCGUAGAUAUGCGGAGGAACACCGAUGGCGAAGGCAACCCCCUGGGCCUGUACUGACGCUCAUGCACGAAAGCGUGGGGAGCAAACA
rnacentral:rRNA from 1 species